rnacentral:rRNA from 1 species
CCUACGGGGGGCGGCAGUUUCGAAUCAUCCACAAUGGGCGAAAGCCUGAUGGUGCAACGCCGCGUGGGGGAAGAAGGUCUUCGGAUUGUAAACCCCUGUCACCAAGGAACAAUAAGUUGUGAAGAGCAGCGAUGAGUUAACUUGGAGAGGAAGCAGUGGCUAACUCCGUGCCAGCAGCCCCGGUC